CAGGAAGGCUACACACAUGCUCAGGAGAGAUCAAAAUUGGCACACUUAAAGGUGAAAAGAAAUGGCUUUAAAUGGUGACUUCAAUCCAACGAAAGAAAUAAAGAGCACUUCUAUAGUUUUGUAUGUUGAGCCCUGGUAUACAUGA
rnacentral:lncRNA from 1 species